AUUGAACGCUGGCGGCAUGCUUUACACAUGCAAGUCGAACGGCAGCACGGACUUCGGUCUGGUGGCGAGUGGCGAACGGGUGAGUAAUACAUCGGAACGUGCCCAGUUGUGGGGGAUAACUACUCGAAAGAGUAGCUAAUACCGCAUGAGAACUGAGGUUGAAAGCAGGGGAUCGUAAGACCUUGCGCAACUGGAGCGGCCGAUGGCAGAUUAGGUAGUUGGUGGGAUAAAAGCUUACCAAGCCGACGAUCUGUAGCUGGUCUGAGAGGACGACCAGCAACACUGGGACGGAGACACGGCCCAGACUCCUACGGGAGGAAGCAGUGGGGAAUUUUGGAUAAUGGGCGAAAGCCUGAUCCAGCAAUGCCGCGUGCAGGAUGAAGGCCUUCGGGUUGUAAACUGCUUUUGUACGGAACGAAGAGCUUCGGGCUGAUACCCUGGAGUCAUGACGGUACCGUAAGAAUAAGCACCGGCUAACUACGUGCCAGCCGCCGCGGUAACAC
rnacentral:rRNA from 1 species